GAUGAACGCUGGCGGCGUGCCUAAUACAUGCAAGUCGAGCGAACAGACGAGGAGCUUGCUCCUCUGACGUUAGCCGCGGACGGGUGAGUAACACGUGGAUAACCUACCUAUCAGACUGGGAUAACUUCGGGAAACCGGAGAUAAUACCGGAUAAUAUAUUGAACCGCAUGGUUCAAUAGUGAAAGACGGUUUUGCUGUCACUUCUAGAUGGAUCCCGGCCGGAUUAGGUAGUUGGUAAGGUAACGGCUUACCAAGGCGACGAUGCGUAGCCGACCGGAGGGGGUGAUCGGCGACACGGGAGCGGAGCCACGGUCCAGACUACUGCGGUAGGCAGCAGUAGGGAACGUGCCGCAAUAGGCGAAAGCCUGACGGAGCAACGCCGCGUGAGUGAUGAAGGUCUUCGGAUCGUAAUACUCUGUUAUUAGGGAAGAACCAAUGUGUAAGGAACUAUGCACGGCUUGACGGUACCUAAUCAGAAAGCCACGGCUAACUACGUG
rnacentral:rRNA from 1 species